CGGGACACGUGGUAUCCUGUCUGAAUAUGGGGGGACCAUCCUCCAAGGCUAAAUACUCCUGACUGACCGAUAGUGAACCAGUACCGUGAGGGAAAGGCGAAAAGAACCCCGGCGAGGGGAGUGAAAAAGAACCUGAAACCGUGUACGUACAAGCAGUGGGAGCACGCUUCGGCGUGUGACUGCGUACCUUUUGUAUAAUGGGUCAGCGACUUAUAUUCUGUAGCAAGGUUAACCGAAUAGGGGAGCCGAAGGGAAACCGAGUCUUAACUGGGCGUUAAGUUGCAGGGUAUAGACCCGAAACCCGGUGAUCUAGCCAUGGGCAGGUUGAAGGUUGGGUAACACUAACUGGAGGACCGAACCGACUAAUGUUGAAAAAUUAGCGGAUGACUUGUGGCUGGGGGUGAAAGGCCAAUCAAACCGGGAGAUAGCUGGUUCUCCCCGAAAGCUAUUUAGGUAGCGCCUCGUGAAUUCAUCUCCGGGGGUAGAGCACUGUUUCGGCAAGGGGGUCAUCCCGACUUACCAACCCGAUGCAAACUGCGAAUACCGGAGAAUGUUAUCACGGGAGACACACGGCGGGUGCUAACGUCCGUCGUGAAGAGGGAAACAACCCAGACCGCCAGCUAAGGUCCCAAAGUCAUGGUUAAGUGGGAAACGAUGUGGGAAGGCCCAGACAGCCAGGAUGUUGGCUUAGAAGCAGCCAUCAUUUAAAGAAAGCGUAAUAGCUCACUGGUCGAGUCGGCCUGCGCGGAAGAUGUAACGGGGCUAAACCAUGCACCGAAGCUGCGGCAGCGACACUAUGUGUUGUUGGGUAGGGGAGCGUUCUGUAAGCCUGUGAAGGUGUACUGUGAGGUAUGCUGGAGGUAUCAGAAGUGCGAAUGCUGACAUAAGUAACGAUAAAGCGGGUGAAAAGCCCGCUCGCCGGAAGACCAAGGGUUCCUGUCCAACGUUAAUCGGGGCAGGGUGAGUCGACCCCUAAGGCGAGGCCGAAAGGCGUAGUCGAUGGGAAACAGGUUAAUAUUCCUGUACUUGGUGUUACUGCGAAGGGGGGACG
rnacentral:rRNA from 1 species